rnacentral:rRNA from 1 species
AUGGAUCUACUUGGUGAACUCGAUGGCAAAUGCGUUGGCGUAGAUGUAAGUGGUCUUGAUGGCUUUGAAGCCGGCGCCCUUGGCCAGGGCCUCGAACUCCCUCUCGUACCUCUCCCUGCCGCCGGGGUUGUGCGCGAGCAUGAUCAUGUCGACGUGGAACACCCCCUGCGCCUUGGGCGUGGCCUCCGGGUUCACCGGCAGGAUGCACUCCACGAGCACCACCUUGCCGUGCGCCGGCAGCGCGUCGUAGCAGUUCUUGAGCAGCGUCGCGCAGUGCUCGUCGCUCCAGUCGUGGAGGAUCCACUUCAUGAGGAUGGCGUCGCCCGAGGGCACCUUCUGGAACAUGUCGCCGCCGACGUGGGUGACGCCCGGGAACGGCUGCGCCUCGGAGAUGACGUGGGGGAGGUCGAAGCCCUCGAAGCCCUUGUAGACCUCGAGGAGCUUCUUGGUGAUGAUGAUGGAGUGGUUCUUCAUCCCCUCGUUGAAGACGCGGUUGAAGCGCGGGUCCGUGCCGUGGUACUCGAACGCCGACAUCCCGUACGCCUUGUUGAACGGGAUGCCGCCGUCAAGGACCGCAGGAACUUGCACACGGGCGCGGCGCGGUACCGCCGGGAGAGCCGGCCGUCCUUGCCCUCCUCCAUCGUGCACGACACCACGUUGUACGAGGCGAGCAGCCGGAGCAUGCGGUCCACCAUGUCCGCCGCGGCAGGAUUCGCCGUGGACGGGAGCUUGGCAGCCACCUCGGCGGGCGUCAGCAGCUUGCCGCCGGCGGCCACCAGGGUCUCCAGGAGGCCCAGCUCGAUGGCGUUCUUGAGCGUCAUCGGGAGGAUCGACGACGAGACGAGCUGGAGAGCGUACAUGCACGCCUCCUCGUCGGCGGAGGCGGCCAUGUCGGCUGCGGUGGAGCCCAUCUUUGCCUCUGCCUCUGCCUCUCCGGAGCCGAGCUACUGA